rnacentral:misc_RNA from 1 species
UUUCCGUAGGUGAACCUGCGGAAGGAUCAUUAUUGUAUAGCCGAGGUGUGAGGGCUGUCGCUGACCCGAAAGGUCGUGCACGCCCGAGUGCCCUCACACACAUCCAUCUCACCCCUAUGUGCACCACCGCGUGGGUCCCCCUUUGGCUUGUUCGGAGGGGGGCUUACGUUUUCACACAAACUUUGUAUGCAGUGUAGAAUGUAUUUUUUGUUUUUGCGAUCACGCAAUCAAUACAACUUUCAACAACGGAUCUCUUGGCUCUC